GCUGGAUGCAGUGGGCACACACCUGCAGUCAUAGCUACUGGAGAGGCUGAGGUGGGAACAGUGCCGGAGCCCAGAAGCUUUGGGCUGUAGUGCACUGUGACCAUUAGGUGUCUGUACUAAGGGGAGCGGGGGUGCCACCAGGUUGCCUAAGGAGGAGUGAACCAGCCCAGGUCAGAAACUGAGCAGGUCAAAACUCCUGUGUUGAUCAGUAAUGGGAUUGCACCUGUGAAUAGCUACUGUACUCCAGCCUGGGCAACAUUACAAGACCCUGUCUCUU
ensembl:misc_RNA Metazoa_SRP Metazoan signal recognition particle RNA